rnacentral:rRNA from 1 species
GGUUUUUUGAUUUUUAUAUAAGAUUUAUUCUGCUCAAUGAAAUUUUUAAAUGGCUGCAGUAUUUUAACUGUACUAAGGUAGCAUAAUAAUUUGGUUAUUAAAUGUAAUCUAGAAUGAAUGAUUUGAUAAAUAAUUAUUUUAUUAAAUUUUAUUUAUAAAUUUGGGAUUUAAGUAAAAAUUCUUAAUUUUUUUAAAUAGACGAUAAGACCCUAUAAAUCUUUAUAUUUAAAUUUAUUUUAUUAAAUGUAGAUAUUAUAUUGGGAUGGUAAGUUUAUUUUUUAACUAUAUAAUAUAUAAAAAUAUUAAUAUUUUUUGAAUUAAAUUAUUAAUAAUGGAGUAAGUUACUUUAGGGAUAACAGCAUAAUUAUUUAUUUAAGUUCUUAUAAAUUAAAUAGUUUAUGACCUCGAUGUUGAAUUAAAAUUUUAUUUAAAUGAAGAUUUUUAAUUUAUUAGUCUGUUCGACUAUUAAAAUUUUACAU